UACGUAGGGUGCAAGCGUUAUCCGGAAUUAUUGGGCGUAAAGAGCUCGUAGGCGGUUUGUCGCGUCUGCUGUGAGAACCCGAGGCUCAACCUCGGGCCUGCAGUGGGUACGGGCAGACUAGAGUGCGGUAGGGGAGAUUGGAAUUCCUGGUGUAGCGGUGGAAUGCGCAGAUAUCAGGAGGAACACCGAUGGCGAAGGCAGAUCUCUGGGCCGUAACUGACGCUGAGGAGCGAGAGCGUGGGGAGCGAACAGG
rnacentral:rRNA from 1 species